ACAAAAACACACAAAACAAUCAAACAAACAAAAAUAAAACAAUCUGAAAAUAUAGUGUCCAGUCCGAAUUAUACAGUCCCAAAAAUAUAAAAAUACAAAAAUGUAACUCCUAUUCUAAACUAAUUCUAAACUAUUCUCCAAUACCUUACCCGAUGCGUCGGGCCUUGAUCACGAACAUCCUCCGAAUACAAAAUACUUCGGGGCAUUCCCCGGCCAAAUGAUACACUUGAUCCAAAUAAGAUAACAAAAAAAAGUUCAAAACACACAUUUAAACAUUCAAGGCAUUCAAUCAACACAUCACUCCUAAAUUUUUGCCUACCCAAACCUAUAUUGCCUAUUCAUUUCACCAUAUCGUAAAUCUAUCACGUUCAUGCUUAUCCCGAAUUAAAGAAAAUGGCAACGGAACAAAAUUUAACUACAAUCAACUUCUAUCAAAUUCUUAAUUACACCCCUAAAUUCAUUCUCAACUAAUGAUUAACCUAGCUUCGAUUAUCAAUUCAAUUUCUCGCACCCAAAUUCAACAUCAACCAGCAUCAACCAUACACACAGUAAAGGCUCAAGCAUGAUAAGCAUACCAAAACAUUCACGUCUGCAAGAACAAUCAAAAUUUGAGAUAAAAAUAGAGAAUGAAAGAAAUGGACCUCAAGUUUCUCUUUCAAAAUCAAUGUAUUAUUUCAAUUAAAUCCGACUUCUCCACAUCCGAAGCCUUUGAGUCGAACCUCAACAGCAGACCCAGUCCAAACUCGGUACUACCAAAAUUAAAACCCCGAACUGACCACAAUGAUCCAAUAUCUCGCUAAAAUCUAACGGAAAAUCAAACACCCGCAAGGUUCAAACUCCGAUGAGUCAUCGGUGAUGCAGACGACCAGAACAACCAGUCGCCGGACGGAUUCCAUCUGAAAUUGAAGAACAACGGAGGGAGGUUUGACCGUUUUAUACGAAUGACGAACGGAAGGGAUGACUCCGGCGAAUCUAUUGCCAGAACAGUAACCCGAAAUCAACCCUGCUUCCUUCUUCGUUAUGGAUCUAGACCUCUCUCACUCUAUCUCCCUCCCAUUCUCGAAUCUCUCUCUCUCUUUCUCUUCUCCCUCUCAUGAUCUUUCUCUCAAUCUCUCUGUGUGUCAUUUUCUAUUUUGUGAUGAGAAAACCAUGUGCGAAGCCUUUUCCGAUGACAACCAGUGUGUGAUAUAGAUUUAUGUGUUCUUAGUGGAAUCAGAUGGUGAGUAUGGGUAUGGUCAUGAAUGAAAAAUGAAGCUCUACCAUUGUUGUGAUAUGCGUGUAUGGUAUUUUAGUGGUGUCAGGUGGGUGUUAAUGGUGGAGUGAUGGUUUUGUCAUGGUGUUAAUGGAGUGUGUGCGAUGGUGCUGAUUGUGAGGGAAUUUUGUGAAGGUGUCUGUGGUAAUUGUAUAUUCCUUUUUAUUUGUGAGAGUGUAUAUAUAUUAUAUUUUGUUCCCUUAAAACAAAAUGGUUCCUUGUGGGCUUUCCUGGAAGUUUCCUAGUGGGCCCCUUUCUAAUUUUUAUCCCUUUUUGCCUUUGUGGACAAGAAAUAUGAGGGGGAGGGGGUCACGUGGGUAUGGGGUAUUGGGGGUAGGGGUAUGGGUAAUUUGUCUUCUUUUAAUUGAAAGGGUUGUUAGGAUGUUAAAAGAAUAAAAGUUUGUUAGGAAUUUUGUUGAGAGUUAUUUUUUUGUAUUUUUAUGGGAUGUAAUUACAUGGGAGAGGGUACACGGUAGGAUAAGGUAAAAAUGGAGAAAACGAUAUCGGGGAGGGACGAAAUUACAUGUCUACAUCAUGCUCCCUUUGAAUGUAAACACGCAGUGUUUUCAGACAAAGAAGUAAACAACGAGACCAAAUUUUAUCUCGAUCAUUAUUCAAAGAGAGGAGUAAAAGAAAGAAAGACAACCGAAUCCUUUAGGACACCCUACCUACCCAAGUCAUGAGGAAGUUAAGUGAUAGGUGUUUCAAAGGAUUGGAAAGAGAUGGACUAUACCGAGUUGGAGAGUCGAGUGAGGUUCCAUAGAGGUUUCAAAACACACAUUUAAACAUUCAAGGCAUUCAAUCAACACAUCACUCCUAAAUUUUUGCCUACCCAAACCUAUAUUGCCUAUUCAUUUCACCAUAUCGUAAAUCUAUCACGUUCAUGCUUAUCCCGAAUUAAAGAAAAUGGCAACGGAACAAAAUUUAACUACAAUCAACUUCUAUCAAAUUCUUAAUUACACCCCUAAAUUCAUUCUCAACUAAUGAUUAACCUAGCUUCGAUUAUCAAUUCAAUUUCUCGCACCCAAAUUCAACAUCAACCAGCAUCAACCAUACACACAGUAAAGGCUCAAGCAUGAUAAGCAUACCAAAACAUUCACGUCUGCAAGAACAAUCAAAAUUUGAGAUAAAAAUAGAGAAUGAAAGAAAUGGACCUCAAGUUUCUCUUUCAAAAUCAAUGUAUUAUUUCAAUUAAAUCCGACUUCUCCACAUCCGAAGCCUUUGAGUCGAACCUCAACAGCAGACCCAGUCCAAACUCGGUACUACCAAAAUUAAAACCCCGAACUGACCACAAUGAUCCAAUAUCUCGCUAAAAUCUAACGGAAAAUCAAACACCCGCAAGGUUCAAACUCCGAUGAGUCAUCGGUGAUGCAGACGACCAGAACAACCAGUCGCCGGACGGAUUCCAUCUGAAAUUGAAGAACAACGGAGGGAGGUUUGACCGUUUUAUACGAAUGACGAACGGAAGGGAUGACUCCGGCGAAUCUAUUGCCAGAACAGUAACCCGAAAUCAACCCUGCUUCCUUCUUCGUUAUGGAUCUAGACCUCUCUCACUCUAUCUCCCUCCCAUUCUCGAAUCUCUCUCUCUCUUUCUCUUCUCCCUCUCAUGAUCUUUCUCUCAAUCUCUCUGUGUGUCAUUUUCUAUUUUGUGAUGAGAAAACCAUGUGCGAAGCCUUUUCCGAUGACAACCAGUGUGUGAUAUAGAUUUAUGUGUUCUUAGUGGAAUCAGAUGGUGAGUAUGGGUAUGGUCAUGAAUGAAAAAUGAAGCUCUACCAUUGUUGUGAUAUGCGUGUAUGGUAUUUUAGUGGUGUCAGGUGGGUGUUAAUGGUGGAGUGAUGGUUUUGUCAUGGUGUUAAUGGAGUGUGUGCGAUGGUGCUGAUUGUGAGGGAAUUUUGUGAAGGUGUCUGUGGUAAUUGUAU
rnacentral:lncRNA from 1 species